UGAGGAAUAUUGGGCAAUGCCCGCAAGGGUGACCCAGCAACGCCGCGUGGAGGAUGAAUGUCGUAAGAUUGUAAACUCCUGUUAGAGGGGAAGAAUAGUACCGGUUGGACCGGUAUAUGCCUGUACCCUCAGAGAAAGCCCCGGCUAACUACGUGCCAGCAGCCGCGGUACUACGUAGGGGGCAAGCGUUGUCCGGAUUUACUGGUUGUAAAGGGCGCGCAGGCGGGAUAAAAAGUCAGUGGUGAAGUCCUACA
rnacentral:rRNA from 1 species